rnacentral:misc_RNA from 1 species
AAGUCGUAACAAGGUUUCCGUAGGUGAACCUGCGGAAGGAUCAUUAUCGAGUUUUUGAAACGGGUUGUCGCUGGUCCCGCUCUUAACAGAGUCGGGACAUGUGCACACCUGGCUUCAUUCCACUCUUCAACCCCUGUGCACUUGUUGUAGGUUUCAGGUCGGACGCGGGGCUUUUGACUUCAUCGUCGAGAGCCUCAAGGAAAGCCUGAGCCUAUGUUUUACCAUACACACGCUUCAGUUAUAGAAUGUAAACAUCGCGUAUAACGCAUUUUAAAUACAACUUUCAGCAACGGAUCUCUUGGCUCUC